UGCUGGACCUUUUCUAGAAGGUUUAUCUGCGUUUAUUUGCGUUUCACUUCGACUGCACCGCAGCUUCCAGCGUCACGCACGGAUAACCGCGUCUUUUCCUGCUGCUCAGGAAGAAGAGGUUGGAGCCCCCAGACCCCCCGAGGCUGGAGGCCGGAACCUUCAAGAGAUGGAUUCACCUCCAAGGAGACGGAGACGGCACAGCAGAGACCAGCCGUUUAACCUGUCAGGUCUGGUCAAUAAACUUCAGCUGGAUUCAGAUUCUUUCACCUCGCUGCUCAACAGCAAUGAACCAAGGAUGAGGGAGAUCGUGAAGGAGCUUCUGAGGAUUUCUGAAGAAGUCAAAGACAUGCAGAGAAGAGCAGACAUUCGAAGAACAGCCGGAGCUGUAGGAGCUGCAGGUGGAGCUGCUCUCCUCCUGCUCAGUGCAGCAGUCCCGGUUCUUCUUCCAUUUGCUGCUGCUGCUGCUGCUGCAGCUGGUGGUGCUGCUGCUCUUACAGGUGGAGGUGUUGUCAUCAGUGCAAAUAUCACUAAAAUGAUGAGUGAGAGUGGAAGUGCUGAAGAGGUGAAGAAUCUGGGAGAAGAGUUGAUGAAGAUUGUUGAACCGAUGAAGCAGCUCUUGGUUCAAAUCCAUCAAACAUGUGAAGAUCUGGAGGAGAACGUCUCCAAGUAUCAGGCUGAAGAGUCCCUGAAAGAUGUGGAGGAUCUUCAGAAGGUCCUCCAUCAGGUGUCUGAGCUGAAGAAGAAGAGUGGAGGAGCUGUUCAUGUGCUGGAGGUGUUGAUUCAAUCAGUAACCGGCCUGCUGCUGCUGCUCGUGAACGUUUUCAGAGUCACUGCAACACCUGAAGAAGACCAGAAGCUGAGAGACGCCAUCAUUCAGUCAGCUGAUCAGAGCCAGAGGCUCACUGAGGACUUCUGUCUGAUGAGGGAGGAACUGGCAAAGUUCAGGAAGUGAAGAGAACACACACACACACACACACACACACACACACACACACACACACACACACACACACACACACACACACACACACACACAACACACACACACACACACACAGCCCCUCCACUUCCUCCUGGAAGCUUCCUGGAUCUGUUCGUUCCUUCACUGUUUUGGAUUUCAUUCAGGUUUAAAGAAUAUUAACCCUGCACAGCUGAUGGGCCUGAUUCAGUUCCUGAAAUCCUGCAGAUCCCAUCUUGUAGCGCUCCACAGACCAGUGGUUUCACUCAGUUAAAAUUUUACCAGCCCAAUCAGGGGAAAGAGGCGGGAGCUGCGGGAGGAGCGGACGUGUUGAGAAGACAUUCGUUCAAUCGCCAGCUCCUGAUUGUUUUGUUUCUUCCAUUUUCUUCUAGUUCCUGCUGACAUAUGAUACUCUGUACAUAACCUGUUACAAAAGUACACAACUAAAUAAUAUUACGUACAAAUUAAACAUGUUUUAUUACUUCCUGCUCCUCUUCAGAUCUGUUUUCUUUGUAUUCUGUUCUUUGUUUUUCAACUCAUUUUUUAUGUUUGAAAUAAAUUCAUUCUUACAUUCA